GAGAGGAGAAAGAAUGAGAGAGAAGAGAGAGAGAGAGAGAGAGAGAGAGAGAGAGAGAGAGAGAGAGAGUAAUAUAUAGAUAAGGGGCCAAGACAUAGUCUUCAAGGACACAGUCACAGUUACCUACUUCCUUCCUCUUUCCUAGUCCCCACCUAUUGAAAUUUCUACCACCUCCCAAAGGGCCACGAGCUGGGGACCAAACUUUUAACACAUGAGCCUUUGGGGGAUAUUUCAGUUCCAAACUACAAUGAAUGAUGGAGUUUUAAGAGAAGAGUCCAACAUUUUAUGUUAUCUGCUUCCUAUUCUGAGAUGAAUAUAACAUGCC
rnacentral:lncRNA from 1 species